rnacentral:rRNA from 1 species
GUGGGGAAUCUUAGACAAUGGGGGAAACCCUGAUCUAGCCAUGCCGCGUGAGCGAUGAAGGCCUUAGGGUUGUAAAGCUCUUUCAGCUGGGAAGAUAAUGACUGUACCAGCAGAAGAAGCCCCGGCUAACUCCGUGCCAGCAGCCGCGGUAAUACGGAGGGGGCUAGCGUUGUUCGGAAUUACUGGGCGUAAAGCGCACGUAGGCGGACCGGAAAGUCAGAGGUGAAAUCCCAGGGCUCAACCUUGGAACUGCCUUUGAAACUCCUGGUCUUGAGGUCGAGAGAGGUGAGUGGAAUUCCGAGUGUAGAGGUGAAAUUCGUAGAUAUUCGGAGGAACACCAGUGGCGAAGGCGGCUCACUGGCUCGAUACUGACGCUGAGGUGCGAAAGCGUGGGGAGCAAACAGGAUUAGAUACACCGGUAGUCC